UCUCUCUCUCUUUCAAUCUGGAUCUGCUGCUCUGAAGAGUGAAGCACUCUUGUUCAAAUCCAACCAGGUUAAGUUUUGAUUUUCUUUCUUGUUACUGUGGUUGAGUUUUGAUUUAGUUUCUGAUCUAUGUUGUUUGUUGAAGGGGUGAAGGAAACCUAAACCCAUAGCGCAGACUCCUCUUCAAACAUCAUCAUCAAUGGAUGACUAUCAAGAUCAGGGUGAUACGGGAUUGUAGGUACCACUCCACUAGUAAUGGAGCUUGACAAGAGGAACUAAUGAGUUUUUCAGCACCUUAGAGUCUAAGCAUGGGAGGGAAGAAUGAACCUUUGGCAGAGGCAUUUGUAGCUCGCAUGCCAGUAAAGCUAGCAAUUUGGUACCACGUCUUUUUGCAAUUUGUCUGAUCUUAAGGUAGGGCAGUUGAAGGAUACACGAAUGCACAGAUCUAAAGGUAGGGCGGUUAAAAGGUCAUUGGAAGAUGAUUUCAAGGUGGUUGUGGAAAUUAGGGUGCCAUCAACUUUCUGAUUGUUGUCUGUAAGAAAGAAUUUGGGGCAAUGAAGGGGUGUAUAACCAACUCAAGCAAGCUUGAUUUGAGGAAGGUUGAACACUUCAUUCAGGCAGUGGGUCUUAUGAGGAUGUAAUUUUCACCAUAAGACAGGAUUCUUCAUCAGGUUUUUACUUUUUUCUGAACUCUUGAGAUAAUUCGAAUGCUGGAUUUCAUCAGGUCUUAUGAGGAUGUAAUUGUCAGCACAUACUCUUGCAAAAUAUAUGUCGACAGUCGGGGUUCUCCAAGUCCUAAUGUAUGUUUAUGGACAGACUCUAACAGCACAUGCUGUGAGAUUUAUACAAAUACUGGCGUUGGAGCACCGUCAAUGAGUGAACUGCUUCGGGAUGCGCAGGUACUUCAUCAUGUAUUUGUAUUAGUACAAUUUUAUUUUUUUCUCUAUAUCCAACAAUGUUAUUCCUUAUCUUUUAAAACAUUUUGUAAGAUUCCCCUUGUGUAAUAAUAAGUUAACAGAUUUAUAUCAAUUGAAGAAUCCCG